rnacentral:rRNA from 1 species
AGCGAACGCUGGCGGCAGGCCUAACACAUGCAAGUCGAACGAACUCUUCGGAGUUAGUGGCGGACGGGUGAGUAACACGUGGGAACGUGCCUUUAGGUUCGGAAUAACUCAGGGAAACUUGUGCUAAUACCGAAUGUGCCCUUCGGGGGAAAGAUUUAUCGCCUUUAGAGCGGCCCGCGUCUGAUUAGCUAGUUGGUGAGGUAAAGGCUCACCAAGGCGACGAUCAGUAGCUGGUCUGAGAGGAUGAUCAGCCACAUUGGGACUGAGACACGGCCCAAACUCCUACGGGAAGCAGCAGUGGGGAAUCUUGCGCAAUGGGCGAAAGCCUGACGCAGCCAUGCCGCGUGAAUGAUGAAGGUCUUAGGAUUGUAAAAUUCUUUCACCGGGGACGAUAAUGACGGUACCCGGAGAAGAAGCCCCGGUUAACUUCGUG